rnacentral:lncRNA from 1 species
UCAGCCGUCCAUUUUGUUUUAAUCUGGGCCGUCCGUUUUUGAUUAAAUCUGGGCCGUCCGUGCGAUUGAUCUGGGUCGUCCGAUCGCGCCCACGCGGAUCGCCAACGUGGCCCGUUCAGGAGCGACGUGGUCUUGCCACGUGGCAGGCCCCGGUUGGCCAGGACUGCUGACCGGGCCUGCUGACGUGGCUGCCGACGUGGCUUUUUUUUUUU